rnacentral:rRNA from 1 species
AUACGGAGGGUGCAAACGUUAAUCGGAAUUACUGGGCGUAAAGCGCGCGUAGGCGGCGCUGUAAGUCGGAUGUGAAAGCCCUGGGCUCAACCUGGGAAUUGCAUUCGAAACUGCAGGGCUAGAGUAUGGUAGAGGGAAGUGGAAUUCCAGGUGUAGCGGUGAAAUGCGUAGAUAUCUGGAGGAACAUCAGUGGCGAAGGCGGCCCCCUGGUCCGCGACUGACGCUGAGACGCGAAAGCGUGGGUAGCAAACAGGAUUAGAAACCCGGGUAGUCC